rnacentral:misc_RNA from 1 species
GAUGAAGAACGCAGCGAAAUGCGAUACGUAAUGUGAAUUGCAGAAUUCAGUGAAUCAUCGAAUCUUUGAACGCAUAUUGCGCUCUCUGGUAUUCCGGAGAGCAUGCUUGUUUGAGUAUCAGUAAACACCUCAACUUCCAUAUCUUUUUUGAAAUGGGAGUUGGACUUGAGUGAUCCCAACGCUUUUCCUCACCGAAAAGUGGCGGGUUACGUGAAAUGCAGGUGCAGCUGGACUUUUCUCUGAGCUAUAAGCAUAUCUAUUUAGUCUGCCUAAAAAACAGAUUAUUACCUUUGCUGCAGCUAACAUAAAGGAGAUUAGUUCUUGUGCUGACUGAUGCAGGAUUCACAAAGACGGCUUCGGCCGACUUUGUAAACUCGAUCUCAAAUCAAGUAAGACUACCCGCUGAACUUAAGCAUAUCAAUAAGCGGAGGA